rnacentral:lncRNA from 1 species
GCCGGGGGCGCAGCGAUCGGCACCUGGGUGGUGGCUCCCUACCUCGCCGCGCCGGGCGCCAGCCCCGCGCCCAGCCGGGGGCUCCGCCGGAGCUCCGCGUGGAGUGUCCAGCCGGGACCCACGGAGGAGCCGGAACUGACAGCCAGGUUGUUGGCCCGAAACGUGACCCUGGGAAAUGGGACCCUGAGCUGGUACAGCCAUCAAGGGAUAGCAGGUGUGCACCUGUCCCCGGGCCUGACCUACGAUGAACACAGGCAGGAGCUGGUGGUGGCGAAGGCUGGACACUAUCAAGUCUGUUUACACCUGGAACUGAGCCACGUGUUGCCGACCUCCAGGGACUCCGGCAAGGUCUCUCUGGCCCUACACCUGGAGCCGCCACAAGCUGAGGCCACCGCCCACCCUCUGGCCGUGGACCUUUCGCCCUACUCCUCACUCCCAGUCCAGGGUUCCCGCUGCCAGCCGCUGCAGAUGGCCGACCUUCAGCGACUCAGUGUCCACCUCAGCGUCUACCUGCCCACCGGGGGCAGCAAGCACCAGGCCUGGCAGCUGGCCCAGCCCGCCACCCAACCCGCCACCAAGUUAGAACUCUUUCGACUGAGUGCCGACGUCCCAGACAGACGCCUGUCCACGUGAUGCCUGGUGUGGGUGCUCCCCACUUGCUGUCCUUCCUUUCUUGAAGCCCCUCGGCUGCGACCUCACGGGCUGGGCAGGGGCCCCUGUGCUGACCACCCCUUUUCCAGGACUCUCCCCACUACCACGUAUUUAUUCUGAGCCUGAGCUCAGAAAGUGUUCUUUAUAUUGAUAUAUUGUAUUGCCCUUCUAUUUAUUGACCCCUUGCUGUGUUCCAGUCCGGUGCUAGAGAAUCACUGAAAAAACUAGACCCCAAAUAAACAUUUUUAUUUAUGUUAAUGUAUGAGGAACAUACCCCCUGACCCCCUGUGUGAAGCUGUGUCUUGGGAGAAGUGUGCAUCUGGCAAGUGAACAUCCUUCAUCUGAGAGUUAGUCAUUCUUGCAGUUCACUGAGGACUUACUGAUGAUGGGCCA